GAUGAAGAACGCAGCGAAAUGCGAUACGUAAUGUGAAUUGCAGAAUUCAGUGAAUCAUCGAGUCUUUGAACGCACAUUGCGCCCCCUAGUAUUCCGGGGGGCAUGCCUGUCCGAGCGUCAUUGCUGCCCUCAAGCACGGCUUGUGUGUUGGGCCUCCGUCCUCCUCCCGGGGGACUGGCCCGAAAGGCAGCGGCGGCACCGCGUCCGGUCCUCGAGCGUAUGGGGCUUCGUCACCCGCUCUUGUAGGCCCGGCCGGCGCUUGCCGACACAUCAAUCUUUUUUCCAGGUUGACCUCGGAUCAGGUAGGGAUACCCGCUGAACUUAAGCAUAUCAAUAAGCGGAGGA
rnacentral:misc_RNA from 1 species